AUUGAACGCUGGCGGCAGGCCUAACACAUGCAAGUCGAGCGGAUGAAGGGAGCUUGCUCCUGGAUUCAGCGGCGGACGGGUGAGUAAUGCCUAGGAAUCUGCCUGGUAGCGGGGGAUAACGUCCGGAAACGGGCGCUAAUACCGCAUACGUCCUGAGGGCGAAAGGGGGGGAGCUUCGGACCUCACGCUAUCAGAUGAGCCUAGGUCGGAUUAGCUAGUUGGUGGGGUAAAGGCCUACCAAGGGGACGAUCCGUAACUGGUCUGAGAGGAUGAUCAGUCACCCUGGAACUGGGACACGCUCCCGACUCCUGCGGGAGGCCGCAGUGGGGAAUAUUGGGCAAUGGUCGAAAGCCUGAUCCAGCCAUGCCGCGUGUGUGAAGAAGGUCUUCGGAUUGUAAAGCACUUUAAGUUGUGAGGAAGGGCAGUAAGUUAAUACCUUGCUGUUUUGACGUUACCAACAGAAUAAGCACCGGCUAACUUCGUG
rnacentral:rRNA from 1 species